rnacentral:lncRNA from 1 species
AUGGAAAUCUGGACCCACUGUGUCUACAACGGCUCACAACGCCUACUUUUUCUUCUUCAGGGGUUCGGGCGCUUGUGCCACAGGAGGGCGAGGCAGCUUGAGAUACACCUUGACCAGGUCGUAGAUGAACCACUGCAGGGCCGUGAGGGUGCCGAUCAUGAGGAUGCGCGCGAAAAGGCCCUUCCACACGCUCACGAAGCCCAGUCUUCGGAGGACGCCCAGGGCCGUGCUGCCUUUCUCCUUGUUCAGCACGGACACCACCGAGUCAGCGGGAUGGGACACGAUGGCGCAGAAGACGCCGGCGAUGUAGCCGGCCACGAAGGUGACGCCCAGCUGCUCGGCCUUGGUGCACUGGCUCUGGGGCUUGGGCACCGCGUAUUUGUAGAGCGCCUCCACUGUGCGCUCGAAGCAGGCAAACUUCAUCAUGGUGUAGGGGAUCUGCCGCAGCCACAGCGGCGCCACGCUCUUGUAGAAGGCCCACAGGCCCUCCUCGCCGUACAUCCUGGGCGCCGCGGCCCGCAGGGUGCUGGCGUAGCCUGGCUGCGUCUGCACGCGGACCUUGACUGCCUCCAUGGGCGCCAGCAUGAUGUCGGCAAAGAACUCGGCGCUGGCCGAGGCAACCAGGUACAGGCCAGUUCUCCAAGCGUAGGCCUUCUCUGGGCCCAGAAGCUCCGCGUAGCGGAUCUUGAAGACCUCAUAGAGGCCGAACUCGAAGAAGCCCUGCACAGAGUAGCCGAAGAAGGUCGGGGCCCAGCCGCGGACCAGGCCGCGCAGCCCGUCGUCGCGCACUGUCACUCCGAAGCCGCUCAGGAUGCCCUUGUACCGGCCGGGGUCCACCUGCAUGCGGCACUUGACCAGGUCCAGGGGCACAAUGACCGUGUGCGUCAGCCCGCAGCUCAGCAUCCCGCCCAAGCCGCACAGCAGCAGGUACUGCGCGGAGCCGUACUCCACGCUGGCCUCCUCCACGGCCGCCGUCCACAGCUGGCAGCCGCCUCGGCCCACGCUUCUUGCCUGCAGCGCACGGCGGCCGCCAGGGCCAACCAUGGCCCCGCUGUGUGCAGGCACACCCUGCCCUGA